UGAGGAAUAUUGGUCAAUGGGCGCAAGCCUGAACCAGCCAUCCCGCGUGAAGGAAGAAGGCUCUAUGCGUUGUAAACUUCUUUUCCAGGGGGAGAAUUUUUCCGUCGUGACGGGAAUUGACGGUACUCUGGGAUUAAGCAUCGGCUAACUCCGUGCCAGCAGCCGCGGUAAUACGGAGGAUGCGAGCGUUAUCCGGAUUUAUUGGGUUUAAAGGGUGCGUAGGCGGAUUGAUAAGUCAGUGGUGAAAGGCUGCAGCUUAACUGUAGAGUGGCCGUUGAUACUGUCAGUCUUGAGUAUGGUCAAGGCAGGCGGAAUGUGUGAGGUAGCGGUGAAAUGCUUAGAUAUUACACAGAACAC
rnacentral:rRNA from 1 species